rnacentral:lncRNA from 1 species
UUCUUUCUCUGACCGUUUGAGACAGCUGCAUUCCUCGCUUAGUCUGGGACUCAGCAAUGUGUUCUCUGACUAUUUUUUUGCUCUAUUUUGUUUGCAUCGAGAAUGGUUCGCUGCAGCGAUAUCGAGAUGAAGCUGUUAUUCUUCAUCGUCGGUGCAAGUGGAAUUUAUUUGCGGACCAGUACAUUGUUAUAUCCUCGAUGGAUUUGGAUGCAUUUUUCAAGCUGCUAGCUGUUUGACAAACAAAACAGAACAGCUAGAACGGGGGAGUUGGUAAUUGGUUCUGGUUCUUUUGAUGUGGAAACUUGUCUUUGUGGCACGUAGAUGAUGGGAGG